GGCCCGUUCGUCUAGUGGUUAGGACAUCAGGUUUUCAUCCUGGGAACAGGGGUUCGAUUCCCCUACGGGCUACAA
rnacentral:tRNA from 1 species